GCCUGUAUAGCUAAGAGGAAUAGCAUUUGUCUCGUAAACAAAAGGUCAUGAGUUCGAUUCUCAUUUCAGGCU
rnacentral:tRNA from 1 species